ensembl:lncRNA
CUAGCACCCGGGCCAGAGGCCAUGUGGAAGGCACGCUCGGGUUUCUCUUCAACUCGUACAAAUCUUUCGCCUUUUACUAAAGAUUUCCGUGGAGGGGAACACCCCCGAGUUUACGGUAUUUUUGGAAGCUCUGCUUCGGCGGAGCAUCACCUGUCUGUCUAAAGUCAAGUUUGUUCCCUGUUCUCCUCUCUGUUCCUCUGGUUAGGUCCUCUCUGUUCCUCUGGCUUGUUCCGCCGUGCGUGGUGGUGGUUCCCCAAGGCAUGGCGAUGAGCUCCAGCAAGGACUAUUUGAAAUGUGGGGAGGCUGUUCAAAUAUAUUCAAGUGCACUCCAGCUGACUGUAUCCUUCAUAUCCCUGCAUGGCCCUGGCAAAGGCUUUGAGGUGCAUUGGCAGCCUGCCUGAAAUUUUUUUUUUUUUUUUUAAACUGAUUUUGUGUGUGUUUGCUUGUUAGUUCAGUGUCCAGAAGCCACGCCUACGCAGUUAAAGUGCCUGCGACAGACAGACAGACAGACACACCGUGAGGGCCGCGCCCGGUGCCGUCCUAGCACCCGGGCCAGAGGCCAUGUGGAAGGCACGCUCGGGUUUCUCUUCAACUCGUACAAAUCUUUCGCCUUUUACUAAAGAUUUCCGUGGAGGGGAACACCCCCGAGUUUACGGUAUUUUUGGAAGCUCUGCUUCGGCGGAGCAUCACCUGUCUGUCUAAAGUCAAGUUUGUUCCCUGUUCUCCUCUCUGUUCCUCUGGUUAGGUCCUCUCUGUUCCUCUGGCUUGUUCCGCCGUGCGUGGUGGUGGUUCCCCAAGGCAUGGCGAUGAGCUCCAGCAAGGACUAUUUGAAAUGUGGGGAGGCUGUUCAAAUAUAU